rnacentral:rRNA from 1 species
GACGAACCGUGCGAACGUUGUUCGGAAUCACUGGGCUUAAAGGGCGCGUAGGCGGGCCACCAAGUCCGGGGUGAAAUCUUUCGGCUCAACCGGAAAAGUGCCUUGGAUACUGGUGGUCUUGAGCGAGGUAGGGGCAUGUGGAACUUCCGGUGGAGCGGUGAAAUGCGUUGAUAUCGGAAGGAACUCCGGUGGCGAAAGCGACGUGCUGGACCUCUUCUGACGCUGAGGCGCGAAAGCUAGGGGAGCGAACGGGA